UGGGGAAUUUUGGACAAUGGGCGAAAGCCUGAUCCAGCAAUGCCGCGUGUGUGAAGAAGGCCUUCGGGUUGUAAAGCACUUUUGUCCGGAAAGGAAUCCUUGGCUCUAAUACAGUCGGGGGAUGACGGUACCGGAAGAAUAAGCACCGGCUAACUACGUGCCAGCAGCCGCGGUAAUACGUAGGGUGCAAGCGUUAAUCGGAAUUACUGGGCGUAAAGCGUGCGCAGGCGGUUUGCUAAGACCGAUGUGAAAUCCCCGGGCUCAACCUGGGAACUGCAUUGGUGACUGGCAGGCUAGAGUAUGGCAGAGGGGGGUAGAAUUCCACGUGUAGCAGUGAAAUGCGUAGAGAUGUGGAGGAAUACCGAUGGCGAAGGCAGCCCCCUGGGCCAAUACUGACGCUCAUGCACGAAAGCGUGGGGAGCAAACAG
rnacentral:rRNA from 1 species